rnacentral:sRNA from 1 species
GUGCAUACGGCUGCCGGCAUGGCGCAUUACAACUUCAAGAAAAUUACGGUGGUGCCGUCCGCCAAGGACUUUAUAGACCUCACGUUGUCGAAGACUCAACGAAAGACUCCAACCGUUAUUCAUAAACAUUACCAAAUACAUCGCAUUAGACAUUUUUACAUGAGAAAAGUCAAAUUUACUCAACAGAAUUACCAUGAUAGACUUUCACAAAUUCUAACAGAUUUCCCUAAAUUGGAUUGUUGCUAAAGAUUAUGUGCGACUGAUGAAGUAUGGCGACUCUCUCUACCGCUGCAAACAGCUGAAGCGUGCGGCCCUGGGACGGAUGUGCACAGUGAUCAAGAGGCAGAAGCAGAGUUUGGAGUAUUUGGAGCAAGGUGCUUGUCACGCAUCCGCGGGAACCGUGCUAGCAUCCUGCUGAGAGGAUGCGUCCUUGUUGAGGACUUGAGAUGUCUGUUUUUGUUGUAUUUUGGAGAUGACAGGGUCAGUUAUUCUUCCUAGCCUUACCUAUGAGAAACAGUAAUAGGCUGGUUUUUAUUGAAAAUAAAUACUUACAAAUCAGUAGCACUGAUAAGAAAAUUUAUAUAUUUCAUAUUUAAUAGGUAAGGCAUACACAAAAAAGUCACGAGAAAAUACUGAAAAGUAUAAAAACUAAGGUGGCUCAUCGUUUAUUAUUCACUUUUUUAUUUUUAAAAAUACUUGUAUUUAAUAGGACUUUCUGAAUUAAUGUACUAGGAUUCUGUUGAAACAAUUACUUGCUUAUUGUGUGUAUUCUUACAUGACAAAUUAUUUUGACUCAUUCGGUUUUGUUUUCUCUCCUGCAUCUUAGAAAUAAUUUUUAACAAAAUUUGUGAUACUUGGAUGCCUUGCAGGUGCUUUGCUACAGAUCUGUGUGGUCUUCAUGAUGGCCGGGGUGCCACCCUGGAGCCGUGUUUGUUACAGACGAGGUGGCAGAAUGGCAGUAACCCAUGUCGUAGCCCAAACGGCAUGGCCUGCAGGCUUCAAAGUGCACUGGUUCCCUAAUGUCAUCUUGCUAAUGAGAAUUGUCUGGACACUGCCAGACAUGCUGUUGGCCCCACCUUUCACCUAAUGAAUUAAAACAUGGGCUUAGAAGGGCUGAGGAAUAUGAUUCUUACUAGAGCCAAACUUGGGAAAUAACAAUUGAAUAUACUAUGUGUAUACUAUUACUUUCUGCAACUAUUUUCUCCAUCACUUUUGCAUUACAAAAGUUGGAGUAAGAUUAAUAUCACCACAGGCCUGGACUGUAACUAAGUUGAAAACAAAAUUUAAAGCAAAUCUUAAACUUUGAGUUUCUUAAUUUUUCAAUUUGAACUUUUCCUAGUGCGUCAGCAUUUAUCCCGUUUGCCAACCAUUGAUCCGAAUACCAGGACCCUGCUUUUGUGUGGGUACCCAAAUGUUGGGAAGUCCAGCUUCAUCAACAAGGUGACGAGAGCAGAUGUGGAUGUCCAGCCCUAUGCGUUCACAACCAAGUCUCUGUUUGUUGGGCACAUGGAUUAUAAGUAUCUACGUUGGCAGGUUGUAGACACUCCUGGGAUCCUGGACCACCCUCUGGAGGAUAGGAACACCAUCGAGAUGCAGGCCAUCACCGCCCUGGCCCACCUCCGUGCUGCGGUCCUGUAUGUGAUGGAUUUGUCUGAGCAGUGUGGGCAUGGGCUGAGGGAGCAGCUAGAACUCUUCCAGAACAUCAGACCUCUCUUCAUCAACAAGGUGCGUGUGGUCACUCAUGUUUUGCUUCAUAUCCUGCAGUACGAGAAUAAUGAUUUCAUUAUUUUUCUUCCUUGCCUAGCCUCUCAUAGUUGUAGCCAACAAAUGUGAUGUGAAGAGAAUAGCUGAACUUUCUGAAGAUGAUCAGAAAAUAUUUACAGAUCUGCAGUCUGAAGGAUUCCCUGUAAUAGAGACCAGCACCCUGACUGAGGAAGGUGUUAUUAAAGUUAAAACAGAGGCUUGCGAUAGGCUUUUGGCUCAUCGAGUGGAAACCAAAAUGAAGGGAAAUAAAGUGAAUGAGGUGCUGAAUAGACUGCAUCUGGCUAUCCCAACCAGGAGGGACGAUAAGGAGAGGCCCCCUUUCAUCCCUGAAGGAGUGGUGGCUCGCAGGAAGAGGAUGGAAACUGAGGAGUCCAAGAAGAAGAGGGAACGAGAUCUUGAGCUGGAAAUGGGAGAUGAUUAUAUUUUGGAUCUUCAGAAGUACUGGGAUUUAAUGAAUUUGUCUGAAAAACAUGAUAAGAUACCAGAAAUCUGGGAAGGCCAUAAUAUAGCUGAUUAUAUUGAUCCAGCCAUCAUG